UGACACACCAUGGUGCAUAACUCUCAUCUGGGUCCCUGAGUGACUGAAAAACCACCCCUUGCCAACGGACAUUGGACAAGUACAUGAGCAAGAAAUAAACUUUCAUAUGCGAAGCCGUCAGAGAUGUCAGGCUGAAGAGGCGGGUGAAACUCUGCAAGCCCAAGUACCCAGGAGAAGAGGAGACACAAGAAGGGACCCCUGCCAGCCACACCACCGGAGACCAUGUGGGACCAGAGAACCGCUGCCCCUGGUGGGCCCACAGCUGGGCGGCCCCAGGCAGGUGGGCGGAGGAGCCUCCAGGCAG